AGUUCGGUCCCUAUCUGUCGUGGGCGCUGGAGAACUGAGGGGGGCUGCUCCUAGUACGAGAGGACCGGAGUGGACGCAUCACUGGUGUUCGGGUUGUCAUGCCAAUGGCACUGCCCGGUAGCUAAAUGCGGAAGAGAUAAGUGCUGAAAGCAUCUAAGCACGAAACUUGCCCCGAGAUGAGUUCUCCCUGAGACUUAGAGUCUCCUGAAGGAACGUUGAAGACGACGACGUUGAUAGGCCGGGUGUGUAAGCGCAGCGAUGCGUUGAGCUAACCGGUACUAAUGAACCGUGAGGCUUAACCUUACAACGCCGAAG
rnacentral:rRNA from 1 species